GUGAAAUCCGACGGGCGUUGCAACGCGACCGAUGCAACUGUCCGCGCGCAAUAACAAUACCGGUGCCGGCUAAUGGAUAUUAUCCGUUGCGCGAAAUAUCGUUAUCGUCGCGGCCGGAGGGCGUAUAAAUAUUAUUAUUAUUAUUAUUAUUAUCGACGAUAACGACGGUUAUUCGUUUUUCAUUUUUUUUUUUUCCAUAGAUAUUUAGAUACGACAUAACGUAAAACAUUGUAAUCCGUGCGUUCUGUGGUUUACGCUCGUUUUGCUGUAUGAAAACCGUGUAUUUGUAUAUAGAAACACUAUAUCUACGUAAUAAUAUUAUCAUGUCACAAAAAUUGUAAAUACAUUCGGUUAUUUACGCAAACCUCUGCCCAAAACACUUUAUACAAUAAUUGUUCGCCCGACUUGAUUUUAUUAGUUAACCGUGCCUAAUGGAUAUUAUAAUAUGUACUGUGUAAACGGAAUUUACGAGUCGACUAGAUUUGAUUUUUUUUUAUUAUUAUUAUUAUUAGUAAUAUAAGAACUAUUGUAUCGGUAUAAAACAUAAUAAAUAUAAUAUAGAGCAUGUUAUAUUGUAUACAUAUUUGUGGAAAAAUAAAAA